rnacentral:miRNA from 1 species
AGAUCGACCGUGUUCCAUUCG